CCUACGGGAGGCUGCAGUAGGGAAUAUUGCUCAAUGGGGGAAACCCUGAAGCAGCAACGCCGCGUGGAGGAUGAAGGUUUUCGGAUUGUAAACUCCUUUUGUUAGAGAAGAUAAUGACGGUAUCUAACGAAUAAGCACCGGCUAACUCCGUGCCAGCAGCCGCGGUAAUACGGAGGGUGCAAGCGUUACUCGGAAUCACUGGGCGGAAAGAGCGCGUAGGCGGGAUAGCAAGUCAGAUGUGAAAUCCUAUGGCUUAACCAUAGAACUGCAUUUGAAACUGUUAUUCUAGAGUAUGGGAGAGGUAGGUGGAAUUCGUGGUGUAGGGGUAAAAUCCGUAGAGAUCAAGAGGAAUACUCAUUGCGAAGGCGACCUGCUAGAACAUAACUGACGCUGAUGCGCGAAAGCGUGGGGAGCAAACAGGAUUAGAUACCCUAGUAGUC
rnacentral:rRNA from 1 species